ACGGAGGGUGCGAGCGUUAUUCGGAAUUACUGGGCGUAAGGCGCGUGUAGGCGGGGUGGUCAGUCUGAUGUGAAAGCCCUGGGCUUAACCUGGGAAGUGCAUUGGAAACUGCCAUUCUUGAGUGUCGGAGAGGGUGGGGGAAUUCCCGGUGUAGGAGUGAAAUCCGUAGAUAUCGGGAGGAACACCAGUGGCGAAGGCGGCCAACUGGAAGAAAACUGACGCUGAGGAGCGAAAGCGUGGGGAGCAAACAG
rnacentral:rRNA from 1 species